CUCUUUUCUGACUUGAUGUAAUUGUUAAAGCCACCCUUCUUUCAGGACUCCAUAGAACUCUCACUUUUUUGGUGGUGGGAGGAGUCCAGGCCAAAAUCCAUCAAAACUUAAUUGAAGCUUCUGAAAGACCCUUAAAGUGAGGACUCCCCCACGUUCUGACUCAGGAGAGGUGACACCCCAAAUCACUUACAAAAACGGCUUUGAUGCAAACCGCAAGAGGACUUUUUGUUCCAGGGCACUCUGGAGCCUAGUCACACACCACGGCAGGGGUGGAGGACUGCAAACCACGAGUGCGGAAUUGGGACAGCUUUUGUGCGGUUACAACAAUGCCCGCGCUUCGCAAACCAAUCAUGUCAUAGCAUCAAGAGCCCGCGCAGUGCGGGCUAAUCGAUUUGUACCACUCCAUAGUUUC
rnacentral:lncRNA from 1 species